GACGAACCGAGCGAACGUUGUUCGGAAUCACUGGGCUUAAAGGGUGCGUAGGCGGGCUGCCAAGUUUGGGGUGAAAUCCUCCGGCUCAACCGGGGAAGUGCCUUGAAUACUGGCGGUCUCGAGGGAGGUAGGGGCGUGCGGAACUAACGGUGGAGCGGUGAAAUGCGUUGAUAUCGUUAGGAACUCCGGUGGCGAAGGCGGCACGCUGGACAGUUCCUGACACUGAGACACGAAGGCCAGGGGAGCAAACGGG
rnacentral:rRNA from 1 species